GACGAACGCUGGCGGCGUGCUUAACACAUGCAAGUCGAACGGAAAGGCCCUGCUUUUGUGGGGUGCUCGAGUGGCGAACGGGUGAGUAACACGUGAGUAACCUGCCCUUGACUUUGGGAUAACUUCAGGAAACUGGGGCUAAUACCGGAUAGGAGCUCCUGCUGCAUGGUGGGGGUUGGAAAGUUUCGGCGGUUGGGGAUGGACUCGCGGCUUAUCAGCUUGUUGGUGGGGUAGUGGCUUACCAAGGCCUUGACGGGUAGCCGGCCUGAGAGGGUGACCGGCGACAUUGGGACUGAGAUACGGCCCAGACUCCUACGGGAGGCAGCAGUGGGGAAUAUUGCACAAUGGGCGGAAGCCUGAUGCAGCAACGCCGCGUGCGGGAUGACGGCCUUCGGGUUGUAAACCGCUUUCGCCUGUGACGAAGCGUGAGUGACGGUAAUGGGUAAAGAAGCGCCGGCUAACUACGUG
rnacentral:rRNA from 1 species